rnacentral:rRNA from 1 species
GCAAGCCUGACGGAGCUAUACCGCGUGAGGGAAGAAUGCCUUUGGGUUGUAAACCUCUUUUCUCAGGGAAGAAGAUCCGACGGUACCUGAGGAAUAAGCCUCGGCUAACUCCGUGCCAGCAGCCGCGGUAAUACGGAGGAGGCAAGCGUUAUCCGGAAUUAUUGGGCGUAAAGCGUCCGUAGGUGGCUAACCAAGUCUGCAGUUAAAGACCGGGGCUCAACUCCGGAGCAGCUGUGGAAACUGGAUAGCUAGAGUACGGUAGGGGUAGAGGGAAUUCCCAGUGUAGCGGUGAAAUGCGUAGAGAUUGGGAAGAACACCAGUGGCGAAAGCGCUCUACUGGGCCGUAACUGACACUGAGGGACGAAAGCUAGGGGAGCG